UGGGUGCAACUUAGUGGUAGAGUUUGUGCCUAGCAUGCACAAACCCUGGGUUUGAUUCCGAGCACCACAA
rnacentral:tRNA from 1 species